ACUCAAAGGAAUAGACGGGGGCCUGCACAAGCGGUGGAGUAUGUGGCUUAAUUCGAUGCAACGCGAAGAACCUUACCUGGGCUUGACAUGCAAAUAGUAGAAGGAUGAAAGUCUGACGAGGUCGCAAGACCAGUUUGCACAGGUGCUGCAUGGCUGUCGUCAGCUCGUGUCGUGAGAUGUUGGGUUAAGUCCCGCAACGAGCGCAACCCUUGUGUCCUGUUGCCACCCCCGCGAGAGCGGGGAGCACUCUGGACAGACUGCCUCGUCUAACGAGGAGGAAGGUGGGGAUGACGUCAAGUCAGUAUGGCCCUUACGCCCAGGGCUGCACACGUACUACAAUGCCUGGCACAGAGGGAAGCAAGACCGCAAGGUGGAGCAAAUCCCACAAAACCAGGCCCAGUUCAGAUUGUCGUCUGCAACUCGACGACAUGAAGCCGGAAUCGCUAGUAAUGGCGCAUCAGCUACGGCGCCGUGAAUACGUUCCCAGGCCUUGUACACACCGCCCGU
rnacentral:rRNA from 1 species